UACGUAGGUGGCUAGCGUUGUCCGGAUUUACUGGGCGUAAAGAGCGCGCAGGCGGUCGUUCAAGUCGAGUGUGAAAGCCCCCGGCUCAACUGGGGAGGGUCACUCGAUACUGAUCGACUCGAAGGCAGGAGAGGGAAGCGGAAUUCCCGGUGUAGUGGUCGAAAUGCGUAGAUAUCGGGAGGAACACCAGUGGCGAAGGCGGCUUUCUGGCCUGUUCUUGACGCUGAGGCGCGAAAGCUAGGGUAGCAAACGGGG
rnacentral:rRNA from 1 species